rnacentral:rRNA from 1 species
UACGUAGGGGGCUAGCGUUGUCCGGAUUUAUUGGGCGUAAAGAGCGUGUAGGCGGCCAGGUAGGUCUGGUGUGAAAACUCGAGGCUUAACCUCGAGAUGUCAUCGGAAACCAUCUGGCUAGAGUCCGGAAGAGGAGAGUGGAACUCCUGGUGUAGCGGUGGAAUGCGCAGAUAUCAGGAAGAACACCAACGGCGAAGGCAGCUCGCUGGGACGGAACUGACGCUGAGGCGCGAAAGCGUGGGGAGCGAACAGG